rnacentral:misc_RNA from 1 species
GAUGAAGAACGUAGCGAAAUGCGAUACGUAGUGUGAAUUGCAGAAUUCAGUGAAUCAUCGAAUCUUUGAACGCACAUUGCACCUCUCGGUAUUCCGGGAGGUAUGCCUGUUCGAGCGUCAUUUGUACCCUCAAGCUCUGCUUGGUGUUGGGUGUUUGUUCCGCCUCUGUGUGUGAACUCGCCUCAAAACAAUUGGCAGCCGGCGUACUUGUUUCGGAGCGCAGCACAUUUUGCGAUCCAGAACAACGUACAGCGGCAUCCAAGAAGCCUUAUUUAACGCUCUUGACCUCGGAUCAGGUAGGGAUACCCGCUGAACUUAAGCAUAUCAAUAAGCGGAGGA